GCCCUGUGAUGAGACCAAGGCGAAUAUGAGCUCUCUGAACAGGAGCUGAGAUCUUCUGGCUCUGAGGCAGGUAAUCUUGGCUGAGCAGAGGAGUGUUUCUGCUCUGCUGUAAGGGCCUGUCCACAGAGAAGAGGCUUUAGACCAAACAUUACUCCUCUAAAGUUCAGUGGAGUAAAGCGUCACAGCCCGACAGUUUGAGCGUGUGGUGGGACGAGGUUUCAGAGCCAAGAAGAGCGUUCAGCUCCAUCCACUGUUUUGGUUUGCAAUGAGUUCUGUCUUUGGUAAUCUGAGGGCU
ensembl:snoRNA Small nucleolar RNA U85